AACGACUGGUUAAGGAUGUAAGUGACAAAUAAAUGACGUCCGAAAUCCCGUUUUUAGUUGGUUUUUGCUAGCUUGAUAGUUCAUUUUCCUCAAACAAACAAAAAACCAUUUUGAAUUAUCAUAUCAAAAGUGAACUUUAAACGGGAUUAAACGGGACCCGGUUUACAUCCCUACAACUGGUCCGUACUCGCCCAGCGCUUUGAAUCUGCGAUGCACAUCUCUUUCCCCGCACACAGACCCUACAAGGUGCGUAUUCAUUCGAUCCACACACUACGAUACUAUACGGGAGUAGUAGAGUUUAGAUGUAAGGUUCCAUUCCACCCGAGCAGCCAUGUCUUAGCCUACUCCAAAUUCAUUUGCAUCCGCGGCCAUGGCUGGCAAAUCUUGCAUACAGUGGAUCCUUGCUAGCUAAGAUGGCUGGUAGGCUUGCAGCACAAAGCACACUCUCUUGUCAAUCAAAUCCAGCUGUCCUCUGACUAGUGCAAACCGGUGCAUGCAUAGUACAGAGCUCCUUCUUUUGUGCGGGCCCCACAUUGCAUUCCUAGCCAAGCGAGUAAUUGACAAAAAACUACCACAUUUUACGUAUCCGUCCCACAGAACCACCACAUUUUAAAAACUGACCAAAAACUCCAGAUUAGUGCUAAUUUCGUGACAAAAAACUACCAGGUCAAAUUGAUGACCGUUUUUUAUGAUUUUAAACCUGUUUAUGACAUGUGGGACCGACAGCAAAAUCAACUCUGUUUAUUUUGACCGUCAAGUUAACCGUUAUGAUAGGUGGGACCCACACGUCAUCAUCAACCUUUUUCUUCCUCCCCUCCUUUUUCUCUUUGGCAUUUCAACAAACACCUCUUGUGCAUGAGACGGAAACUGGGGAGCUCCGGCCGCCUGCUCGCUUUACACCACAUCGGACCCCAACACGAGCGCCAGGUGAACUAGCUCCGGUCGGCUCUGCCUCGCAGCGCCGUCCUCGCCGUCGUCGACCCGCCGGACGGCGACGCCACCUCGGCCGCCGCCGUGGCCCGACUCGCCGCGGCCAACCCUUCCAUCGCCUUCUGCCUCCUCCCGGUCCGUCCCAGCCCGGACCCCGCCGCGCACCCGGUCAGGCGCGCCCACGACACGCUCCGCCUCGCCAACCCCGCGCUCCGGGCCUUCCUGCGCGCGCUGCCGGCCCCCGCCGACGCACUCCUUCUCGGCGGCGCAGCUGAAGUAGAUCGCUCGCGGGCUAGAGAGCUCCGGGCACCGGUUCCUGUGGGCGGUGAGGAGCCCGCCGGAGGAACAGAGGGAGUUCCCCGAGCCGGACCUCGAGCGGCUGCUCUCGGCCGGCUUCCUGGAGAAGACGAGAGGCAUUCCCCGAGCCGGACCUCGAGCAGCUGCUCCCGGCUGGCUUCCUGGAGAAGACGAGAGGCAUUCCCCGAGCCGGACCUCGAGCGGCUGCUCCUGGCUAGCUUCCUAGAGAAGACGAGAGGCAGGGGCAUGGUGGAGGAAGAAGGUGAUGCUGACGUGUGGGGUCCACCUGUCAUAACGGUCAACUUAACGGUAAAAAUAAUGGAGUUGACUUUCCCGCCACGUCAGCCCCGACAGGUGGGCCAGCUCUGUCAGAAAGGGGUUUAAAACGGUUAAAUCGGUCUUUAACUCGACCUGGUAGUUUUUUGUCACAAAAUUAGCACUAAUCUGAAGUUUUUGGUCAGUUUUCAAAUUGUGGUAGUUUUGUGGGACGGAUGCGUGAAAUGUGGUAGUUUUUUGUCAAUUACUCUAGCCAAGCACACCACACUAGACACUGCCAUGCGUCAAGGCAUGUGUUUCUGUCCAAUCCGAAUGCGAACGAGUUGCCAGCGGGAGUACGGUGUACUGUUGGCGUAUGUAUCUUCUGUGUUGGCUCCGGUGGUCUCUAGCUUGACGACUACUAAUUAUGUACGUGUGUGCAGAGAGCGAGGCCAGCGUUGGGAGAGUGGAACAACAACGGCGAUGGCGACGCCGGUGGCUGGACGGCGGCCGUCGUCAACCAGUGCUUCGAGCCUGUCACGGCACACAAAUCACUCAAGCAGGAAUUCAUUGGUUACGACAGUGGCGUCAUCGCCAUGGGGAAGGACUCAACACAAGGUGCCGAGGCAAACCUGGGUGGAUGACUCAGGGCCCCAUGACGCAAUGGAACUCUUCUCUUUUGCAGCGGUCAAGGCUGUUGACGACGACCUGUACGAGGUCCCACCGGACAUGCUAUGCGGCAAGCCACUACGGGUAUGUAAAUAAUUGUCUGCCUAGUAUGAUGGUUGCAUUGCAUGUUUCGGGAAGUUUUCAACUCAAGAAAGAAAUUGAUUUGUUUAAAAAGAAUUGAUUGAUUGUCAUAUAUGCACUUCAGGAUUGUAACUUUCACAACACAAGAACACCAAUCCUACACAGACUUUUUUUUGCUGAAAAGGAUUAAAAAACUACGCCCCGUAACUGAAGUGAUGGGCGUAUGGCUUCAGUUUUGCAACAAAUUAACUGAAAAUACUCCUUCACUCGUCGGUUUGUCUGACAGUAAAUAGUACUCCCUCCGAUCCAAAAUAAAUUAAACCACAAGACUUAUUUUGGAUCGGUGGGAAUAGUAUGGAUUACAUUUUCAGUUAACUACUAGAAAUUUGCUCCACAACUUUAUGAGUUUUCUAAUACCGCUAAUGUUUAUAGUUUUUUUAUCAAUGCUUAAUUAUCUUGUUUCAUUGCAGAAGGGUAGGACGUGGCUGAGGAGCGUGCUGAUGAGGUGUUGCGGCCUCAACUGCUUCACCUACUGAAUGUGGCUGAUGGCUCACAUUGGUACAGGUUUUGAUGGAACGAGAGAUGAACUACACGAUGUGGUUCCCUGUCCUAGAGAUGGUAGUAGUGACUUGAUGACUUAUAUAUUGGUUAUGUAUUUUCAUUCAUUUAUGUUAUGUACUAUGAGCAACACUACCAAGCUGACCAAUUUGAUUUAUGAAGUUAAUCUACAAAUGCAUGUCGUAUUUGC
rnacentral:lncRNA from 1 species